GCCUCCGUGGCUUAGUGGUAUAGUAAUUACGUUCCUUAAUUACGCCAAAAGCAGCUGACUUGUAAUCAGCAGAUCGUGGGUUCAAUUCCCACCGGAGGCU
rnacentral:tRNA from 3 species